rnacentral:misc_RNA from 1 species
CAGAGUUCAUGCCCUUACGGGUAGAUCUCCCACCCUUGAAUAACAUACAUUGUUGCUUUGGCGGCUGCCGAAGCGUCCGCCAAAGAACCCUAAACUCUUGUUUACAGUGUCGUCUGAGUACUAUAUAAUAGUUA